UAGGCUGGGGGUGGAAGUGCAGCAAUGCAUGGAGCUGACCAGUACUAAUCGGUCGAGGGCUUAUCCAAUA
rnacentral:rRNA from 1 species